AAGUCGUAACAAGGUUUCCGUAGGUGAACCUGCGGAAGGAUCAUUAACACGUAUCCAAACGUUAACCCCCCUGUGAACCUUUAGUGUGCUCGUACGCUUUGUCAGAGCGUGGCAAUCCCUCUUGGGAAUGCCAGGCCACUUGCCUCGCGCUACGAGCACACUCUUUGUGGAAGUCCCUAAAUCGAAAACUGUUCGGCGAUGACAGUUGGUGUCUGAAAGUGUCACUGGCUGUGUAAGAUGGCGCAGUCACGAUCGUUGGAGGCCGACACGGCCGACGACCGGGUCACCGGGCUCACGCCCCUUAAUCACAACUUAAUGCAUGUCAGACGCGCCUGCGCUUAAUUGUGCGGCGACCAUAAAACUCGAACAACUGUUAACAAUGGAUAUCUUGGUUCUC
rnacentral:misc_RNA from 1 species